UUUUUUUUUUUUUUAAGAUUUAUUUAUUAUAUAUGAGUACAGUGCAGCUGUCUUCAGACACCCCAUGUACUGACUAGUUUUGUGUCAACUUGACACAGCUGGAGUUAUCACAGAGACAGGAGCUUCAGUUGAGAAAAUGCCUCCAUGAGAUCCAGCUGUGGGGUAUUUUCUCAAUUAGUGAUCAAGGGGGAAAGGCCCCUUGUGGGUGGGACCCUCUCUGGGCUGGCAGUCUUGGGUUUUAUAAGAGAGCAGGCUGAGCAAGCCAGUAAAGAACAUCCCUCCAUGGCCUCUGCAUCAGCUCCUGCUUCCUAACCUGCUUGAGUUCCAGUCCUGACUUCCUUGGUGAUGAACAGCAGUAUGGAAGUGUAAGCCGAAUAAACCCUUUCCUUCCCAAUUUGUUUCUUGGUCAUGAUGUUUGUGCAGGAAUAGAAACCCUGACUAAUACACCCCAGAAGAGGGCAUCAGAUCUCAUUACAGAUGGUUGUGAGCCACCAUGUGGUUGCUGGGAUUUAAACUCAGGACCUUCAGAAGAGCAGUCAGUGUUCUUAAUCACUGAGCCAUCUCUCCAGCCCCCUGUUUGGAUUUUUGUUGUUGUUUGAGGUUUUAAAUUUUUAUAGGUAUUGGUAUUUUCACUUACAUAUAUGUCUUGAGCAUGGUGCCUGGUUCCUGUUGAAGUCAGAUCUCCUGAGAUUUAAUUUUACAAAUAUUUGUGAGCCACCAAGUGGGUGCUGAGUUAAUGUUUUAUUUUAGUUAAAGAUUUUCUUGUCUUUUCUUGUAAAUUUUUAAAAAGUGCUUAUUAUAUUGGCAGGAUGCCUCAGUAAGCAAAGGCACUGACUGGAGCCUGAAGAUCUAAAUCUAAAUUCAGUCCCUGAGACCCAAAUGACUAAAGGAGAGGCCAACUCCACUCCUACAAGUUGGCCUCUGAUCUUUGCAUGGUUUUCAUGGCACGUGUGUAUACACUGAGUAGAUAAAAUAUAUGAGGGGCAUAAACUGUAGAUCAGGAUUUUAAAUAAAAAUAUAUAAAUAAAUGAAUGUAAUUUUUAACUUAAAAUUUUUUAAAUUACAUUUAUGUAUGUAUUUGGCAGGGGUGGAGGGACAUAUGUGGUGACAACUGAAGAGGUCAAAGGACAGCUCUCCAACAUCUGUUCUCUACUUUCACUAUUUAGGUUCUGGAAUCAAACUCAUUUGACUCCUCAGCAAGCACCCUUAGCCGCUGAACCAUCUUGUUACUUUAGGGUGUUCUUAUCUGAUAAAUUAAUAGUAAUUUAUUUUUAUUUUUGCACAUAGACUGUUGCCUUGUGGGAUCUGAGGAAUCUGAAACUCAAGUUGCACUCCUUUGAAUCCCAUAAGGAUGAAAUAUUCCAAGUAAGAGAAAUCAAUGUGCCUACCCCUCACUUCCCUUUCUUUCAUCUUCCUUUGUCUACAGGAAAUCUGCUCAAGUUAGUAGUAUUUGAGAGCUGAAAAAAAUCUUUGCACCUCUUGGUUUCUUGGGAUAUUAAGAAACUAGUGCUGGAUUAUUGUGUCCAUGCCUAUAAUUCCAGCACUUGGGGAACUGGGGGAAGGGAGGUACCUGUGUGUUCUCCUCAGACCAAUCAUUAAAUUCCUUUUUUUUUUCUGGCUGUUUUGUUAUUUUUUUGAUUUGUUUUUAAAGAUAGGAUUUUUCUGUGUAUUCCUGACUAUACUGGAAGUUGCUUUAUAGACUAGGCUGGUCUUGAACCCAGAGGUCUGCCGGCUGAGUGCUAGGAUUAAAGGAGUGAACCAACAUUGCUUGUCUCUUCGUUUUAAAAUUAUUUGCUGCUCAGUGGGAGUGGUGGUGCCCACCUAUCUCCCAGCUUGGAGGCAGAGGCAGGUGGAUCAAAAUAAGAAAAAUCCUGUCUCAAAAUCUGUGUGUGUGUGUUUUGAAUUGAACACUGGUCUUCUAGAAGUUUGGCCAGUACUCUGAGCCAUAUCUCCAGCCCCACCUUUUUUGAGAUAAUUUUACUAUUUUAGCCAUUGCUACUUAGACUCCUGUAUGCCCCCUUUUUCAUAGGGGUCCCCCUGACUCAAUUAAUUGUCUGCUGUUUUUUUUUUACAUCUUUUUUUUUUUUUUUUUAAGAUUUAUUUAUUUAUUAUAUGUAAGUACACUGUAGCUGUCUUCAGACACUCCAGAAGAGGGAGUCAGAUCUUGUUACAGAUGGUUGUGAGCCACCAUGUGGUUGCUGGGAUUUGAACUCUGGACCUUCGGAAGAACAGUCGGGUGCUCUUACCCAUUGAGCCAUCUCACCAGCCCAAUUGUCUGCUGUUUUAAAACACAUGCUCUAAGGCAUUGUGACAACCACUUUACAGCCUUUUCUCUCCAGCGUGAAUUUGAUAGUGAAGACAGGCAUGAUAAUACAGGCCUCUAAUCCCAACGCAGAAGAAGCUAACCAAGUAGUCACAAGUAGUUCAUCCUGACUAUCUAGGAAGAGACUCUACAUUCAUCAAGACUACUAAUCCCAGCAUGCAGAAAGAAGAGGCAGGAGAGUCAAUACAAGGUCAUCCUCACCUAAAUAGACUUGAGUAUUGGAGAUAUUUUAUCUUUGUCUGGACUCCUUUUGGUGAUCUUGCUUGAAAGAAUAACUAAAGCCGGGCGGGCGUGGUGGCACACGCCUUUAAUCCCACCACUCGGGAAGCAGAGGCAGGCAGAUUUCUGAGUUCCAGGACAGCCAGGGCUACACAGAGAAACCCUGUCUCGAAAAACC
rnacentral:lncRNA from 1 species